CCGGCACAAGAUGGCUUCCACUAAGGACUCAAACUCAGGCUCAGGAGCUGGUUCUUCUUCACAGUCCAGUGGUGCGAACAGCAGCUGCCAGUCUGCAGCCUGCCUGCCUCUGGGAGACUAUUUACUACAGAGAAACACCAAAAUGACCAGCAAAGUGAAGCCUGUGGAACAAAGGAACAUGUGAUGUGCAAAAGGGAGGUGAAAAAGCUUGGCUUCAGCAACUCCGCUUUUUUAUCCCUGGCAUUAAUUUGUUCUCGAGAACAACAAAUGAUUCUUAGUAAUUUAUUUUCUUUUUUCUUUUAUCUUCCUCUCAGACAUUAAUUAUAUAUUUAUAUAUAGAAUAUGCAAAAAGAGCUGAGGAAUGUUUGGGAAGGCAAAGUGAUUAAAAAUUAAACAAUGCAGAAAAUCACUCUGUUACCUAAAGGGAUGCUACAGUACAUCGCUCUAUUUUUUAUCUCUAUCUUGACUCCCUCUCUCCCUUGCCGCUUUCAUUUGUUGUUUUUUUUAUCCUUCUUUUUUUGGUUGGAGAUUUCUUUAAAGCUGGUUCUCCGCAGGCACGCAUGCUUCCAGGCCCAGAGACAGCAGCAGACUGUGUGUUCUGAAUAUGCCUGUGUUCUCUCUGUGUGCAUGUGUGUGUAGCAGCAUCCAGGCUAUUUGUCAUGGCGUAGACUGUUUGCUGGGUCAGUCCAGAUAAACUAAUGUGUCAGUGCAACGGGGCUCUGCCGCUGACCAGAGCGCC